CUUGGAAUACCAUCCCAUGGUCAAAGACUCCAAAGCUUUGUCUCCGACACAACCUGUGUAGCCAUUCACUGACUUCCACAAUUCAACGGUCUCUACCAGGGCCUUUUGCUUCCACAGGGAGGAUUGAUGAGAGCACCACUUGCGCCUUAAACUCCUUUAUCCUUCUUACCAGAGCCACGUAGUCUGCAGUGAUCCACUCAAGCUCUAUGGCACCUCAAUCU